rnacentral:rRNA from 1 species
GAUGAACGCUAGCGGCAGGCCUAAUACAUGCAAGUCGAACGGGGCAGCAAUGCCUAGUGGCGCACGGGUGCGUAACGCGUAUGCAACCUACCUAUCAGCGGGGGAUAGCCCGUCGAAAGACGGAUUAAUACCGCAUAAGAAAAGUGAGUGGCCUCAUUUGCUUUUGAAACAUUUAUGGCUGAUAGAUGGGCAUGCGUUAGAUUAGCUAGUUGGUGUAGUAACGGUGCACCAAGGCGAUGAUCUAUAGGGGUUCUGAGAGGAAGAUCCCCCACACUGGUACUGAGAUACGGACCAGACUCCUACGGGAGGCAGCAGUAGGGAAUAUUGGGCAAUGCCCGCAAGGGUGACCCAGCCAUGCCGCGUGCAGGAAGAAGGCCUUCUGGGUUGUAAACUGCUUUUGGAAGGGAACAAAAGGGCUGUGCGCAGCAAAUUGAGUGUACCUUCAGAAUAAGCACCGGCUAACUCCGUGCCAGCCGCCGCAGUAAGAC